rnacentral:lncRNA from 1 species
GUUUUAUAUAGCAUGUAAUACUUUUUUCCUAGAUAUUGCAUCAGUUAUGUGUGAAAUAUAUCUCAAGUAUAUCCAAUAAUAAGCCAAGUAAUCUCCAUUUAGUUUUUUUUUAUAAAUUUUGUGUAAUCCCUGAUGAAGUAUUCACUAAUUGAACCAAAAUAUGAUUAUUCUCCAUUCAUUGGGACAUUUUAUUCAUUCAUUAAGAUUUGUAUUUCUUAUGAAUAUUGUACUAGUGUAAGGAUUGGAAUUGGGAACUUACCGAAGGUGGUUGGGGUGUCUGCUGUCCGUCUCGCCCGUGUGGCGAGCAAUGUUGUGGAAUUAUCAUAAUUGAUAAAGAUUUUGUUAAAGUUUGUUUUGGAAUAUUUAAUAUGAUUUUUUUUUAAUUAAUAUUGUGUUUUAUUUUUUAUUAAUGAUAUUUUGUUUACUAGUUAUAUUACUAAUUUUGUUCUUAUUGUAUUUGAUUAUGCAAAUUAGUUUACGUAUAAAGUAUUUACGCUCGGAAGGGGGUGUUGGAAUUCUCGCCAUACCUCGUUUGUCUUGUCAUUACUAUUGUAAAGGUCAUAGUGGAGGAAGAUUCUUGUGUGUAUUGAAAGGAUUUUAUUAUGCUAACAUGUUUUUAUUAGAAAACUUGCUUAUCUACGUUUGUGUGGAGGAAUGGUUUUUUUAUAUGUGAAAAGUUGUAAGUUACGACCUUAUGUUUUGAAAACAACAUUUAAGUUAAAACAGGCGAGAAUUUUGUUGUAUCUAUUUAGUAAUUUAUUGUUUUUGUUUCUAAAUUAUUCUUUUUUGCAAGUUAUUAAUAAAAUUAAUUUUUCCAUGGAAUCUUGGGUGACUU